UACAGGGGGGGCAAGCGUUGUUCGGAAUUACUGGGCGUAAAGGGCGCGUAGGCGGCCUGUUAAGUCGAACGUGAAAUCCCCGGGCUCAACCCGGGAACUGCGUCCGAUACUGGCUGGCUUGAAUCCGGGAGAGGGAUGCGGAAUUCCAGGUGUAGCGGUGAAAUGCGUAGAUAUCUGGAGGAACACCGGUGGCGAAGGCGGCAUCCUGGACCGGUAUUGACGCUGAGGCGCGAAAGCCAGGGGAGCAAACGGG
rnacentral:rRNA from 1 species